CGGCGGGACAACAUUGUAUUUGCGGUGGUGACUUGGCGCAGUGUGUAACUCGCUCCGGCUAGCGAAACGCCGUUCUGUGCAAAUAUCCAGACUGUUCCGUUUUGGCUGUGAAUAGCGUUAACCGAAAGAGUUUGCUUUGCUGCUUGUGGUGUGUUUGGAAGCGCCAGAUCGAUACCGGUGGCGUUCAGUUUAGAAUAUUAUCGCUCUGGACGGAACCUUCCAAUCUAGAGGUGUUAUAACAGAGGAUCAAUAUUGGGGCAGUGUAGCCCUGUUUGCGUUGUGAUUGUUGUGAAAACAGCUCAACUCAACAAGCAACCGUCGCUCAAACAGUCCCAGCCUCGAAGGGUUUCUCUCAGCGAUGAAGUCACGCAGCUCCUGCGGUCAUCUGGCGCAGGCAAUGGUGAUGGUGUGGCUGUUGCACGCUUCCACACUGCUGCUAUCAUCCACCAACGGCCAGGAGUACGACAGCAGCUAUGAAGAGCAUCUCAACUUUAGCGAUGUGUUUACGGACAUUGCGGAGGACCUAACGACCGGCUACAGCCAUGGAGGUCCCGAGACCAUCCACACAGCCUUCCGGAGCCACUGUCAGGCCUGCCAGUUCCGGAACGUGUACGCGAUGGCUUCGCUCAAAUCGAUCCAGGCGCACGUACUGAUGAAGCUCGGCAUUGACUCCAUGCCGAACAGGACGCAGUACCCGAAGAUACCGCGCCACAUUUUGGAAAGCUUCACCAGGCAGGAGGGUGUGCCCCUGCACUCACCCAGCAUGGUACGCGAUACGGACUAUAUGGCGGACGAACCGUCCGCCGGGGUGGAGGAGAUCGAGGAGGACUUUGACUACUAUCCGAUCACGAACAAGAUCUACAUUCUGGCGAAACGAAAAGCAAACCGACCGAAAACACUCGAAUCAUAACAGCGUUUUUAGUUUUUAAGAUUAGCUUUUUAAGCACCUGGGGAUAUAAUACAUUUUGAAUAUUAAUUAUUUCCUUUCCAGUUUACCUAACGUUUAUCUUUGACCUUUAUUUCAGAAUUCGUCGAUUAUUUUAAGUCGCUAUGUUCGAUAUAAAUUAUUAACCCAUUUCUUUCCUUUCACUAGGGUUAUCUUACAAUCUUGAAGCUCUUCUCCUUUCCAGGCCACUUCGAUGAAGCUCAGGCUCAGGUGAUUUCACCCGGCUUACCAGCAACAAUCCGGGGCCUUCCUUAUCUCGCAACGCCCUCAAGGGUACGAGCAAAAAGGGAUCAUUUAUAAGGAUUUAUCUCAAACGUUCGAGCCACUUUAGGGCCGCCCCAUCCAAUUGGAUAUAUUUUAACAUCCCGUUUAAGCUUGUCCCAAGUGGUUUAAAUUAAUCGACACGCUCUUCAAUGUCGUUGUCGGGGCACUUUCCGUGCUUAAAUGAAAACUGGGCACGAAAGGACACAAAUAAAAGUUCCCUCUUGGAAGCGUCAGCAGGAGUCGAACGAAAGCACGGGUUAAUUAUGCACACCUUUUUUAAAAAACGGUCUCGCGGGGUUACCGUGGCACAUUUUCGUCUUAAUUAUAACACAUUGAUAAGCCUUACCUGGUCCACUGAUCCAUAAUGACGCCGGGAGAAGACGCCUCGCCUCGAGAUGAGCUCUGUCGCCGAAGUACUGCAAGGAACAGAAUUAAAGAAAACAAUAAGAGAGGAGGUUUUGACAAGGUUUCAUUCUAUUAUGAGUUAUUUCUGAAAACAGUGCUCAACUCCGGUUUUGGUACGGAAUUGUGCUCGAGUUGCGAUCGUAUCGACGAAAAACCGUACUGCUGCGCUAAUUGGUACUAAAUAGACACUUGCAUAGAUCAAAAAUUCAAAACCCCUUCCACCCACCGGCUGCACUCACGUAAAUGUGCAAACAAACAUAUAAACAAACUGCUGCUUUAACCUCCGCUGCCAAGCUCGGGGUACCGUCGGAACGAAAACCAUUAAUCAGUGUCACCAGCGUUACCAGGGGAAAUGCCGACUUCCUGGUAAUGAUACGGUUGCGUGAACCGACGGACCGCCUCGUCCAAGGAGAAUGCCGUUGGCUCGAUGGUCACGAUGAUGAGUCGGAGAUGGUGAACAAAAAAUAAACCAGGGCACGUUUUCAGUACGAGACGACGCGCUCGAAAUGAAUGAAAUAAAAUUGUGCUAUGCGGCAGAUUUUUGCGCUUGGGUGUGAUCAGAAUGCUUUCGAGAUGCUCGAAAAGCAGCUCAGUCGCCACGAGCUGGUGGAAGUUUUUGGCCUGGAGUGUUUCAUUUCAUUUUUCAGUUUAAGAGUAUUAAAACCGGUGACCGAAACUGGCGAAAACGCUCUUUUUAGGGUUUUAUGGUUGAGAUGAAUCUAAUUUUUGGAAAAUCUUGAUUUGCUCGCUAGUUGGGCUGCUGGUUACGAUCGCAAGAGUUGAGGUUUGGAAUGUAGUGGGAUGAAUUAAGAGGCACAUAAAUAAGACGGUAAACGUGAAUGCAACAGCUAAAGUAUGGGGAUGGGAUAAAUUUUUCCCAUAAAAUGUAAUGCAAUUAUUUUCAAGAGGCUUUUCUUAAAACGGUUGUUGUGCAUUGGGCGUGGCGUGCCUGAAGGUAUGCAGUAUUUCUGUAUGGGUUGUGUAAAACGCUUACAUUGCCAAAGAAAUAU